GGGGGGAGUUGAACCCCAUAAGUAAGUUUACAGCUUACUGCCUUUACUCGGCCACCUAACC
rnacentral:tRNA from 1 species